rnacentral:rRNA from 1 species
GUGGGGUAAUGGCCCACCAAGGCAGCGACGGGUAGCUGGUCUGAGAGGAUGUCCAGCCACACUGGGACUGAGACACGGCCCAGACUCCUACGGGAGGCAGCAGCUAGGAAUCUUGCGCAAUGGACGAAAGUCUGACGCAGCGACGCCGCGUGCGGGAUGAAGGCCUUAGGGUCGUAAACCGCUUUCAGCAGGGACGAAAUUGACGGUACCUGCAGAAGAAGCCCCGGCCAACUACGUGCCAGCAGCCGCGGUAAUACGUAGGGGGCGAGCGUUGUCCGGAUUUAUUGGGCGUAAAGAGCUCGUAGGCGGUUUGGUAAGUCGGAUGUGAAAUCUCCAGGCUCAACUUGGAGGGGUCAUUCGAUACUGCCAUGACUAGAGUUCGGUAGGGGAAUGUGGAAUACCUGGUGGAGCGGUGAAAUGCGCAGAUAUCAGGAGGAACACCGGUGGCGAAGGCGGAUCUCUGGGCCUUACCUGACGCUCAGGCGCGAAAGCUAGGGGAGCGAACAGGAUUAGAUACCCUGGUAGUCCUAGCCGUAAACGUUGGGUGCUAGGUGUGGGCGGAUAUCAACCCCGUCCGUGCCGAAGCUAACGCAUUAAGCA